GACGAACGCUGGCGGCGUGCUUAACACAUGCAAGUCGAGCGGUAAGGCCCUUUCGGGGGUACACGAGCGGCGAACGGGUGAGUAACACGUGGGUGACCUGCCCUCAGCUCUGGGAUAAGCCUGGGAAACCGGGUCUAAUACUGGAUAUGACUCCAUGACGCAUGUUGUGGGGUGGAAAGCCUUGUGCGGCUGAGGAUGGGCCCGCGGCCUAUCAGCUUGUUGGUGGGGGAUGGCCUACCAAGGCGACGACGGGUAGCCGGCCUGAGAGGGCGACCGGCCACACUGGGACUGAGACACGGCCCAGACUCCUACGGGAGGCAGCAGUGGGGAAUCUUGCGCAAUGGGCGAAAGCCUGACGCAGCGACGCCGCGUGAGGGAUGACGGCCUGGUGUAAC
rnacentral:rRNA from 1 species